UAGGGAAUCUUCCGCAAUGGACGAAAGUCUGACGGAGCAACGCCGCGUGAGUGAAGAAGGAUUUCGGUUCGUAAAACUCUGUUGUUAGGGAAGAAAAAAUGUAUAGUAACUAUAUACAAAAGAGACGGUACCUAACCAGAAAGCCACGGCUAACUACGUGCCAGCAGCCGCGGUAAUACGUAGGUGGCAAGCGUUGUCCGGAAUUAUUGGGCGUAAAGCGCGCGCAGGCGGUUUAGAAAGUCUGAUGUGAAAGCCCACGGCUCAACCGUGGAGGGUCAUUGGAAACUAAUAAACUUGAGUGCAGGAGAGAAAAGUGGAAUUCCUAGUGUAGCGGUGAAAUGCGUAGAGAUUAGGAGGAACACCGGUGGCGAAAGCGGCUUUUUGGCCUGCAACUGACACUGAGGCGCGAAAGCGUGGGGAGCAAACAGG
rnacentral:rRNA from 1 species